AACGCUGGCGGCAGGCUUAACACAUGCAAGUCGAACGGGCACUUCGGUGCUAGUGGCAGACGGGUGAGUAACACGUGGGAACGUACCUUUCGGUUCGGAAUAACUCAGGGAAACUUGAAUUAAUACCGGCUACGCCCUUCGGGGGAAAGAUUUAUCGCCGAAAGAUCGGCCCGCGUCUGAUUAGCUAGUUGGUGAGGUAAAGGCUCACCAAGGCGACGAUCAGUAGCUGGUCUGAGAGGAUGAUCAGCCACAUUGGGACUGAGACACGGCCCAAACUCCUACGGGAGGCAGCAGUGGGGAAUAUUGGACAAUGGGCGCAAGCCUGAUCCAGCCAUGCCGCGUGAGUGAUGAAGGCCUUAGGGUUGUAAAGCUCUUUUGUCCGGGAAGAUAAUGACUGUACCGGAAGAAUAAGCCCCGGCUAACUUCGUGCCAGCAGCCGCGGUAAUACGAAGGGGGCUAGCGUUGCUCGGAAUCACUGGGCGUAAAGGGCGCGUAGGCGGACUCUU
rnacentral:rRNA from 1 species